CCUACGGGAGGCAGCAGUGGGGAAUCUUGCGCAAUGGCCUAACGGCUGACGCAGCGACGCCGCGUGUAGGAUGAAGCUCUUCGGAGUGUAAACUACUGUUGCCCGGGACGAAUAGCUCGAUUAAUCGAGCCUGACGGUACCGGGUGAGGAAGCACCGGCUAACUCCGUGCCAGCAGCCGCGGUAAUACGGGGGGUGCGAGCGUUGUCCGGAAUCACUGGGCGUAAAGGGCGCGUAGGUGGUUUGAUAAGGGUGUGGUGAAAGUCCGGGGCUCAACCCCGGAUCUGCCGUGCCGACUGUCAAACUCGAGGACUGUAGAGGCAGACGGAAUUCCGGGUGUAGCGGUGGAAUGCGUAGAGAUCCGGAGGAAGACCGGUGGCGAAGGCGGUCUGCUGGGCAGUUUCUGACACUGAGGCGCGACAGCGUGGGGAGCAAACAGGAUUAGAUACCCUGGUAGUCCACGCCGUAAACGAUGGGUACUAGGUGCCUGGGGGAGCGACCCUCUGGGUGCCGGCGCUAACGCAGGAAGUACCCCGCCUGGGGAGUACGACCGCAAGGUUGAAACUCAAAGGAAUUGACGG
rnacentral:rRNA from 1 species